UUUGGGAUGCAUGCAGUUCUGUAGGUGCGUCUGCAUCAGCAGUGGGCUGGGACUGCCCGUAGGAUGAGAGCAUGUGCUGCAAAAUCUGUUCCUAAUGCUGUGCUCUCUGACUUCGCUCUCAGUGGGCCAGCAGAUGAGGCGAGCUUUCCCAACGAGGUUAACAUGGGCAGCAAGUUGAUGUGUGGCUGGUGCCUGCAGGUUGCUAGGUGUAUAUGGUUGUGGUAGAAAUCUUGGUGCCAGCCAUGGUUACCUGCAGGUGGGUAAAGGGUUCGGACGGAGGUAUGUAGAUUCAAGGGCUCGCCUAUCUUUCUGCUUCUCUGGUCUCUCCACUUGGUUCAUUCUCAGGCAUGUGUGGUGUGAGGUGAGUGUUUACCACUGACCCCCAUUCUGGGCCAGACGCCGGGCAGAGUUUCUAGUGUGCUGACUCAUUUGGUCUGGAUCACCAACCUGGACCUGUUUCCUAACCAGCCCUGCCUGAGGUCACACAGCUAGAGGGAGGCAGAGCUGAGAUCAGAGCUGGGCUGGCUGCUGCCUGGGCCUCUCUUGUACCCUCAGGUCCCUAUGCACAUGCACCAGAUUCAUUCUGACUCAUUCUGGCCCGAGCCACCUGCCUGUCU